UGCGGCUUUUGAGCUUCUUUCAAGUUAAGUAUUAUUUACGCCAUAAAUGCUGUUGAGAAUUAUUUUGUCAUUUAAAGCAAAGAGUGUACGAAGUAUUUUUUUACACCAUAAAUUUUAUGGCGAGUUAUUUUGUGAUUUAAAGCAAAGGGUGUACGUAUUAGAGCUGUAAAUAAACUGUUUGAUAUGCAAUAAGGUUUUCAUUUUUACACCAACAAUAAUCUGAAUACUUCUGUUUCCGAAACAAUAGCACACUAGUGUGAUCUCUCUCAUGUUUUGAAUUCUUAAGCUCUUUUGACUUUUCGUGCAAAUGUUUCUAGUUUACCAAUGGAUUUCAUAAAAUAGAAUAUAUAUCAACUCUGACAUUCACAUGGAACUUGCCACAAGCUUUUGUGACUUAGAGAAUGAAGCUAUGUUUAGCAUGGAAAUCAAAGCAUAACUUAUGUAAAAGUAUUUCAAGUUGAGCAAGACAGGAAAUUUGCUGCCCAGGAGAAACCAAGAAAACAACAUAGAUAUGUUCUGUGUCCUGAUACAGCAUCUUAUGCAAUUCACCUGCAGAGACAUAUAUUGAAGCAUUCAAGAAAUAGGCCUUUCCAGUAAAAGUUAGAAGUAAAAAAAAAAAAAAAAAAGCGCCACUAAAUGCACUUUAUUGCUUAUGGCAUUCAAAAUAUUUUUAAAUUUCAUGAAAGCAUUUCAUGGUCAGCAGAUCAUGCAGUUUUCAGCUUCUAAGGAACAAAUACAACGUAAAUGUGAUCAGUGUCCUUACUCUACAGUUUUUUUGACUGGUAUAAAGACGUAUACGCUGAGGCAUUCUAGAAAACCGUCCUUCGAUUGCGCUGCGCUUCAAAAUUAUGAAGAAUUGUCUACAACAUUUCGCUGGUCAUUCGAAUCCAGAAUGAUAUUAAAAAAAUGUCUCGCAAAUUUUCGCCUUUAUAUUGUCAUUUUGAGUUUUGAAAUAUUGUUGUGUUUUUAUGUUUGCUUUGAAUGUAUUAUUUUUAUCUACUUAUCUAUUUUGUUAAAUAUUUUUAUUAAUUCUUCUUGUUGAUAGAAAAUAAUUUUAAAUAUUCUUAUGGUUGGUUAUUCUUAUUGUAUAGACCUUAUUCUGAUGAUAUUUUUAUGAUUGCUUUUAUUUUCCCACUUUGUUAUUAAUGGGGACUUUAUCUGUUCAGAAUUGUACAGCACCGGAUUAUUGAAUGCAAUUCUGUAAACUAAGUAAAUCACAAAUAAAAAUGUAAAUAAUUACUAUUUAUAAACAUUUUUUUAAUUUGUUUUUAUUCUCUUUAUUCCUUUUAGCAUUUCAUGGUAAGCACAUCAUGCAGUCUUCAGCUUCUAAAAAAGGAAGAAAACAACGCAAAUAUGAUCAAUUUUUUUUAUACAUGUAUUUCGAAUGGUAUAAAGGUAUAUGCGCUGAGUCGUUUUGGAGAAUUGCCUUUCGAGUUGCUUGAAUGUGAAAAACGCCUCGAAAUUAAGAAGAAUUUUCUACAAAAUCUCAAUGUUCAUGUGAGAAGAAUAUAGAAAAUGAUUUACAUUUAUUCACCUUUAUAGUGCUACUUCGAGUUUUGAAAUAUUGUAGUGGUUUUAUGUUUGCUUUGAAUUUAUUUCUGAUCUGCUCAUUUAAUCUUUUAUGCUAAAUACUUUCAUUAAUAAUUAUUUUGAAAUAAAAUAAUUUUGAAGCUUGAAAAGAUUAUCUUUACUGUAAAAGUUAAAGUAGAGCAUUUGAUUAUUAAAGACAAUUCUUUCAAUUAAAUAAAUCGUAUAAAAAUGUAACUAAUUAAUAUUUGUAAGCCUAUUUUUAAAAUUUGUUUCUAUUUUUCUCCUCAGGGGCUCCUUCUUUAGGUGAGUACGGAUGUCCCAAUUCCAGAGUACUAGGGGAAUCUUCCUCACUUUAAAUUUCUCCUCCUCUAUGCCCUCUGCUAUCAGAAAACUACUUGUAUCCUAUGACGGUAUACGAGGGAUCCCUCCCUGACAAGCUGUUACCACUCUGUCUGCUGCGUACUUCUCAUGGACCGCUAAAACCUCUACGUGUUGGCCGUGCAUGGUGAUAUAUUAUAUGGGUAGUGCACUGUUGAUCUCCGGUGUUGAAAUUGGUAGCUUUGUCAUCUAAAUGACUAAGGUUCUAGGAAUCAAGUAAAAGUUGUCUACUUCCUGGGCCUGGCGUUAAGAGUGGUCAUUCUCUGAGAUGCUUUAAGUGUUAAAGAUUCGAGAACUCUCAUUCCAUUUGCAGUGCACCAACAUGCGCCAGAUGUGCUAAUACCAGUCAUGAAAUAAAUUUUUGUGGGUCUAACACACUUAAAUGCAUGAGCUUCUCUGGACCUCAUCCUGUCAAUUCAAGAAAUUGCCCAAAAUUUAACUUUGUUAAAAGGAUUUUAAUUGUUAAAAACACACAAACAAACAAUUUCCAGAUAAGUGGAAAAUUGUAACAAGCCAUACACCAAAAGAAGGGCCUUCAUAUACGUUAAUUUUUAAAAAUCACUAGCAGGUACCGGUAAAUUUAAUGGGAUCUAAGGGAUGUCUCAGUACCUACUAAAAUUCUUUACCCUAGAAUAUCUCCAAAACAAAGAGGUCUACCGAAACUUCUAAAUCGCAAAAAUUAUCUUAUCAAUUUAACUAAAGAUGGUUUUCUUCACGUAAAAAAAAAAAAAAGAACAAAAGCAGCGGCAGUGACAUUAUUGCUACAGAUCUUUUAGAUAGCGAAAUGUGGACUAGUGAAAUUGAGGAUUUUGCGUUAUCAACCUGUGAUAUAUGAUUGAAGACCUACGUUUUAAAUAUCAUGACUUCAAAUAAAAGCAUAAAGAAAGAAAAGAAUGCAGUUGAAUCCUGAAUAUAAUAGUCCCUUAUUUUUUAAAGUAAUCAUCAGGGUUUCUGCCAUAAGCUUGAAUGCAUGGAGAAAUCUUGUCUUCUUAUGGUUGGAUAUUCUUGUUGUAUGGACGUGAUUCAUAUGGUAUUUUUAUGUUCGGUUUUAUUUUCCUCAGUGUUAUAAAAGUGUAUUUUAUUUAUUGUGUAUAGUAAAUCAUCAGUUGAUUCCUUUCAGUCCUGACAGUCCUUUCAAUUAAAUAAAUCGCAAAUAAAAAUAAAAUUAACUAUUUUUAUAGCUGUUUUUUUUUAAAUCUUUUAUUUUACUCUUUUUUGUUCUUUCUUAGAUUUUCAUGGUGAGAACAUCAUGCUGUUUUCAGCUUCUAAGAAACAAAGAAUACAACACAAAUGUGAACUCUGUCCUUAUACUACAGUUUAUUUACCUUGUCUCAAGAGACAUAUGAUGAAACAUACUAAAGAAUUGCCAUUCCAAUGUGCUGUAUGUAAAGAACGCUUCAAAGAAGAAUGGAAUGUCUUACUACAUUUCACCAGUUUCACUUGUCAUAUGAAUUCAUAAUAAUUUUUAAAAAUAUAUACAUUUAUUGACCUUUAUAGUGAUUCUUCGAGUUUUGAAAUAUUGUGUUUUUAUGUUUGCUUUGAAUGCAUUUCCUGCUCUGCUUUUUUAAUCUUUUUUGUUAAAUACAUUUGUUAAUUAUUAUUGUUGAAAUAAAAUAAUUCUGUAACUUGAAAACUGAUUGUCAUUAUUGUAAUAAUAUUUCAGAU